UAGUCCAUAAAACCGUGUGGAUUCAGAACUGAAAUCUAAACCGUGAAGCCGGUAAAAAAAGUGGAGCAAACCGGGAAAACCAACGGUUUUGGAGUUUAUCCAGGUUAGACCGUCUUCACAUUUAUUAAGAAAAAAAUACAAUCGAACCCCCACACUGUGUUCGCGGGUAACACCAAAAGUGUUUUUGUUAUUUCUCAUUCAAAGCUUUCAAAGAAAUCAUCAUUGUUAGAAAUAAAGCUUGAAACAAGACAUGUAAGAGAAGGGGAGAAGGUGCAAAUCAUCAACAAGAGAAUGGGUUUUGUGUGCUUCUUGGAAGAGAGAGAACAUGAACUAGAA
rnacentral:lncRNA from 1 species